GAUGAAGAACGCAGCGAAAUGCGAUACUUGGUGUGAAUUGCAGAAUCCCGUGAACCAUCGAGUCUUUGAACGCAAGUUGCACCCGAAGCCAUUAGGCCGAGGGCACGCCUGCCUGGGCGUCACACGUCGUUGCCCCCCAUCUACUCCUUCGGGAUUGCGGGGGGCGGAUGAUGGCCUCCCGUGCGCCUCGUCGCGCGGUUGGCAUAAAUGCCAAGUCCUCGGCGACGCACGCCACGACAAUCGGUGGUUGCGAAACCUCGGUUGCCCGUCGUGUGCGGUCGUCGCGCAUCGAGGGCUCGAAAAAAUUGCCGGGCUCCGGCUCGGCUUUCAACGCGACCCCAGGUCAGGCGGGGUUACCCGCUGAAUUUAAGCAUAUCAAUAAGCGGAGGA
rnacentral:misc_RNA from 1 species